GAAUAUUUUCUAAAACCUGUUAUGUUUUUGCUCCUGAUGCUGGUUAGUACCAUCAAGAUCAGGAAGCUGGCCCCAUAUCAGAGUAAAUAUGCUAGUUUUAGAUGAAUAUUUUCAACUGUAUUAAAGAAAGAGAUAGUUUAGUCACAAGAACAGUAAGCCAUGAUAAAUGACUUUCCUUUGCAAAACUCCCCAUCUCUGAGACAGUAUUAGUUUUACUUUAAUUACUGGCUGCCGUAAUGUUUCCUAUCCAUAACUGUCUGCAGAAUAGACUAUUUCUGAACAGAGGGUAUGGCCUGUUUACUCAACCGUUGAGAAGAGGGCCCAAGUUCUACCAAGUCUGAACUGUAGCACAGGAGAGUGUCCUUCAUUUAAAUAUUUAAAUAUUAAUGUUUUAAUUGUAUAGGCGGAAAACUUCAAUGUCAUUUUAAGGAUAAGCAACUUUGCUUGAAAGUCUUUGUUAUCAACUUGAGAGUUUUGUCUUGAAUCUUAACAUCACUGGGGAGGAACACAGCCUUGCAACCAUAUUGCUGCAAGUCUGUGUGUUUCCAUUUUUUUUCCUUUCCUUUUUUUUCUUUCCCACAUUUAAAAAAUAAUAACAGAAAAGCUGUUGUCAGGAGUGACUCUCUCAAAAUGGCUUAGUUGACAUUAGCUGGAAAUGAGCAGAACGACACUAACAACUAAUUGAUUACAGUAAUUACGCAGUCUGUGGCUAGUUUGUAUUGGCAAACUCUAUAUACUCCUGGAAUAAAUGUGAACUUGCAGAAUGCAAGGAAAAGGUCACUCUCAUUUGCAUGAUAGGCGUCAUUAGAAUAUGCUAAGGACGAGACCUAGUGUUUUAUGACUUCAGGUGAUGAAUAGCUACCAUAUUACUCUGCUACAGGAAAGCAUGUCUCAGUCACCUUAAUUUACAUGCUUUUUUAAUUUCAAGAAAAAUCUUUUAGAGUACAGCAAUAAAAGGCUUACUUACUGUGUUUUGAAUUGAAUUAUUUUGUGAACAUGGCAGAAAUCUUUUACAUAGAAUUAUUUUUCAGGGCACUUCUAAUGGUAGGAUUAGAAUAAUUACAAUGUAUUUCCUACACUAGAUCUUCUACUGUAAUAACUUUUGUCAUUCAUAAAAUAAAGUAGAUUUUUAGUGAUUAUGGGAAUAAAAUAUCGAUUGACCCAUUGGAGCUUUCUAGAUUUUAACUUACAGUGUUACUGGGCUAUCUAGAAUGCAUUGAUUUUCCACUUGAAAUUAAUGCAAUUUUAUCAUUUCAUUAAUUUUCCCCUUAACGUUUUUGUUAAUUAGCAUUAUUUCUCUAGUAAGUUUUCCAUAUCCAUCUAAAGUACAGAUACUUGAUAGUAGUUUUGCUUAAUGCAGGAUCUCUUGGUCAAGCAGUUUUAUGAUAUUUAUUUUGUGCAGAAUUUUAGGUAUUAGUACAACAUAUAAGCAACUUUCUGCAAUUGAUCUUAAUAUAACUUUUUAAGAAAUCAAGCGUUAAGUUUUCUAUGAUGUAAGUGUUGUCAUUUGUAUUUUUCUGAUCACAUAAUGAUGACUCCUCUUAUCUGUUGCUAUUCAUACAUUUCCAUUAUUGUGAAAAGACAGGAGAGCACCCUCAUAGAGGCAAAGGGGAGGAGGGAAACAGGAGAGCACCCUCAGAGGCAAAGGGGAGGAGGGAGAAGGCAGAUGGGUUGGGAGGUUGUGGCUGGAUAACCUUGAAGGGGGAUACCAUUUGGCAUGUAAAUGAUAGGAGUGAUUAAUAGAACAAAUUAAUAAAAAUAAAAAGAGUAUAAUCG
rnacentral:lncRNA from 1 species